rnacentral:tRNA from 1 species
GCAGGGGUAGCCAAGUGGUCAACGGCGCUGGGCUUAGGACUCAGUCCUUAGUGGUUCAAGGGUUCGACUCCCUUCUCCUGCA